UGGAGAUGAAACUGACUUUGACAGGAUUGAUCCUUCCGAUGACAUUUAUGUAUGUGUUCAUGAAAAUAUACAAUUGAAAGAAUUUCUGUCGGGGUCUGGGAAAUUGCUGCCUGCUGCUUACUCACCAGACGGCGCCGGAGCUCUUUGUGGGGGUGUGCAGCAGGUGUCGCUCAUCAUCAAUCAGGCCCUGAGGUUUAAAAGGAGCUAGUCAGCACUUUGUUGCCUGAGUGUUUGCCUAUAGUGAUAACUUACUGGCCAAGUUAAGCUUGCUUAAACUCUGUGUUUUUUCUCCCAAGAACCUUUUGUGUGCUCCUUCUCAGGACUUCCUGACCACCUGGCUCCAGUCUCGGUGUUGUUUCUCUGGCAAUAUUCUAAGUACUUCUGACUUCAAGCUCCCUCGCUUAUUAAGCUCCAGCUGGCUGACUCCAAGCUCCAAACCUCUAAGCAACCUGCAAGCGAACCUAGCCCACCCUCCAACCUGAGUCCUGAAUCCAACACCAAGUAUACUCACCUCACACUUUCAUCCUGGAAAGGCAAUCCAAACUUGUGUUCAUCCAAACCAUUCAUCUGAGGAUUUCAAGUUCUACCUGUACAAACAGACAUUCACCAACCUCCCAGGCUCCGCUUUGUCUUCCCCCCUUUGGGCAACUUCCUUCAGCUCCACUCUUUGGUGUGUUUCCAGUCCAGGGUAUGUUUCCUGAGUUGUUCUGUACAAGGGAAAAAAACUGUUAAAUCUUUUUUCUGUCUCCUGAGUGUUAUCCUAACUGUUGAUGAUGAGGAGGAGGAGAGAGAAUAGACCUGAGGCAUCCAGUGCUCUGAAGAGAGGCAGAGGGAGAGGAAAGAGUCAGUCUUCAGAAAACAGGAGCUGCAUCAGUCGUUCCAUUGGCAAGGAAGUAACUGUGAACAGGAACUGUCACAAGGCCUAUAACAGCUCCACUGGUCAAAUUGAAAGCUAAUGUUUGGCUGUGAUUGCAUUAUUGUAAAUUGUUUUUUGAUGCUCAUAUUGUCUUUUUGCAUUCUGAUUUUUUUUUUUUUUUUGUAUCUUGAUAAAAAAUAUAAUUUGAAUUUGUGUUCAUCUGUGCUAAAGUUUCAACACAGUAACAAACAAUUACAGUUUUUGUUUUUGUUUUGCACUUUUAUUCUUUAAAGAUGGUCUUAUGAACAUAUGUGUGCUCAUAGGUAUCUGGCACACUUAGAGAUUUGUUUCCAAUACUGUAAUAAUUUUUUUUUUAUGUGCAUAUUGUCCUUUCUGAAGUUUUUCACAAUGUUUAUUGGGCUAAUUAUGGAUUCUUUAAGACAGUGAUUUGUGAAACUCUUACUUCUUGAAUAAAAUAUUGGUAAAGCCUUG